CUACUAUAGUAUUUGCAUAUAACCUGUGCACAUCCUUCUAUAUACUUUAAAUCAUCUCUAAAUUACUUAUAAUACCUACUACAAUGUAAAUGCUAGGUAAAAAGUUGUUGUACUUUAUUUUAAAAACAAUUUCUAUU